rnacentral:rRNA from 1 species
GACGUAGGGCGCGAGCGUUGUCCGGAUUUAUUGGGCGUAAAGAGCUCGUAGGCGGCUUGUCGCGUCGACUGUGAAAACCCGUGGCUCAACCAUGUGGUCUGCAGUCGAUACGGGCAGGCUAGAAUUCGGUAGGGGAGACUGGAAUUCCUGGUGUAGCGGUGAAAUGCGCAGAUAUCAGGAGGAACACCGAUGGCGAAGGCAGGUCUCUGGGCCACUACUGACGCUGAGAAGCGAAAGCAUGGGGAGCGAACAGG